rnacentral:rRNA from 1 species
UAGGGAAUCUUCGGCAAUGGACGAAAGUCUGACCGAGCAACGCCGCGUGAGUGAAGAAGGUUUUCGGAUCGUAAAACUCUGUUGUUAGAGAAGAACAAGGACGUUAGUAACUGAACGUCCCCUGACGGUAUCUAACCAGAAAGCCACGGCUAACUACGUGCCAGCAGCCGCGGUAAUACGUAGGUGGCAAGCGUUGUCCGGAUUUAUUGGGCGUAAAGCGAGCGCAGGCGGUUUCUUAAGUCGGAUGUGAAAGCCCCCGGCUCAACCGGGGAGGGAGGUUAGAAACUGGGAGACUGGAGUGCAGAAGAGGAGAGUGGAAUUCCUUGGGGAGCGGUGAAAUGCGUGGAUAUAUGGAGGAACACCAGUGGCGAAGGCGGCUCUCUGGUCUGUAACUGACGCUGAGGCUCGAAAGCGUGGGGAGCAAACAAG